UCGCCCGCGUCAGCCCGCGACGCCGGAAGUCACGGCGCGUCCUGCCGCCUCGCGCCGGUGGCCGCCGGAGUCGGCCCGCGGGAAAUGCCAUGCGAAAUUCACUAAUAAAAAUAUCAGAAAUUAAAACAUUAAUCUAAAAACCUGUACCAACAUUAUAUAACGAAACGAUGUUAGAACACGUCGCCAAAUGUUCGCGAAGUUCAAGAAAUAAAUAUUAAAAAUAUUCAUGUAGUUCACGAAAGUGUUAAAAAAAUAUAACAACCUAUUUGUGUAGUGUUUCGGUGUUAUUGACGUGUGCAAUUUGUUAUCCUUAACCUGAUAAAUUAAUUUUUUUCCUUUUACAUUAAAAAAAAAUAUUAUCUGGAAAAAAACUCGUGUUUUCACCCCGACAAGGAAUUACAACAUACAAGGACAUCGCAUUUUAUUGCUGCAAACCUUUGAAAAAUUUCCUCUACACAAACUUCAGUGAUCCGCCAGCAACUUGGUGCCAGUGAUGUACUGUAGUCUCAAGAACAAGAAUUGCUGAAUGAGAUGGUCACAUGCGAUACGGUAUGUAAUAAGAUUUUUUUUAAUUACAUUUCAUUACUUUUAGAAGUCAUUUUAUGAAACAUUGGUUUUGUGUUUCUUCUUGUACGGUAAAUUUUUCAACAAAAACAAACUUUUAUAUAGCUAAAAACAAGCGUUUUCAAAUUUUGCAAUGAAAUGUGUAAUGUUGUGUUAUAUAUUUUUGUCCACUUAGCUUUACUUUUAAGGAUGUAUUAGAUCCCGAAUAUGAGUUUUGCAUUGGGUAAGGGGCGUAUCGGUGGACUAAUAUAUUUUUUUAUUAUGCACAUACUGGUUAAAUUUUUAUGUUUAAAAAAAUAAUUGUAGGGGAGUCCACUGAAGUAUUCAAAUAACAUAUUUUGAAAUCUUAACAUUUUUCCACAAAAAUAAAAAUAAAUAUAAUAUCCUGUUUAUUCUUAGUGGAGUAUCUUGCAGGCACGGCUCCAAAUUUAAUUUUGAUUCAUAUUGAAAAUAUAGUGUGAUUUAAUGCUCAAAACACACCAAAAAUAUUAACAUGUAAUACAAUUUCAGUUUAAAAAUUUUAAAAAUUAUUUUAUUACUUACAAAUUAUCUGUCUUUUUUUGCUAGUCUUUUAGAAGAUAUUUGAAUGGAUAACUUUUAUUGCUGCUAAACGUAGAAGCAACAUUUUAACAUUUUUUUUAUAUUGAGGCAUAUAAGAAGAGUGAUUUAGUAUUGUAGUGUAUGUGUAUAUUUAUUGUAGUUACCUACUAUCCACUCACUAAAAUUAUAUCACUCUGGAUGUUCUUUGCAGUAUGUAACUAUGUAUCUCUGUAUAUCUAUUGCCUUUAACAACAUAAAAACACAAACACCUAACAACAAACAUGCACAAUAAUUUUAAUGCAGUAUUUUCUUGAAUAGAAUUACAAGUACUAAAAAUAACAAUUAUUAUUUUUAUUUAAAAAGAAAAAAAAA